rnacentral:lncRNA from 1 species
GGGGAGGCUAGAGAUAGCAAGCCGAUAAUUAGUAAUAGGCUAUUUUCGUCAAGAGGUUAGGUUAAGGGUAGACCAAGAAAGUUUGCAUGGCAAUAUUAUAAAAAAGCGAAUUAAAUAAGAAGAGUAGAUAUUUGAGGGCGGAUAAGAUGAAAUUGUAAACCUCAACAACACCAUUCAUCCAUAGUUUCUUUUAGCCAAUUGAUUCACUGCAUUUUGCAUUUUUAUUUUCGUCUUGUAUUCAAAAACCUAAAAUUAAUUUCUUCGCAAGUCUUAUGCAAUCUAUUUACACGAAAGUUAAGGCCUAAGAGUCCUUUGGGAAACGAUACUUGGACUUACCCAUUUUAUAUUACUUGAUAACGAUCUGGUAUACUUGCCAGGGACUUAACAAGCUUCUUCAAAAAUUCUUUAUAUUCAGGGAUUUGCUGCAAGGCCUUUGUCACAUGAACUUUUAUCCCCAAUUCUUUGAACAUCUCUUCAAAGCACCCUGCUUGUAUAUUUCUUGUAACAUGUUCUUCAGGGUGCUAGAUAUUUUUUUCACAAUUUUUUAUUUUCUUUUUUUCUCUCAACCUCUUCUUUCUUCUCAAUUGUUUUCUCACUCAAAAAUUCUUUUUCAUUCUCUUCUUUUUUCUCAUCCUCACUCAAUCUUUCUUUUUCUUUUCUCUCAAUUUUUUUAUCUCUUUUUUCACUCUCUUUUUCUUCCCUCUCUUUUUCUCUCAAAUCUUCCAUGCUUGCUAUAUCCCUGCAUUCUUCC